rnacentral:rRNA from 1 species
CACGUAGGUGUCCCGGUAAGCUCCGGGUGAAAUCUCCGCGCUCAACGCGGAAAUGUCUCGGAGAACUAUCGGGAUUGAGUUCAGGAGAAGAGAGCGGAAUUCUCGGUGUAGCGGUGAAAUGCGUAGAUAUCGAGAAGAACACCAGUGGCGAAGGCGGCUUUCUAUCCUGAAACUGACACUGAAGUGCGAAAGCGUGGGUAGCGAACG